rfam:Schistosoma haematobium scaffold609_9, whole genome shotgun sequence.
GCACUACUGAGGAGUCCCACACUAGGACGAAACGGCCGUCCAGUGC